CUUCCAUCUGGAAGAAUACUGGAGACAGGUGCUGCAUGGCUGUCGUCAGCUCGUGUCGUGAGAUGUUGGGUUAAGUCCCGCAACGAGCGCAACCCUUGCCUUUAGUUGCCAGCAGUUCGGCUGGGCACUCUAAAGGGACUGCCGGUGUUAAACCGGAGGAAGGUGGGGGAUGACGUCAAGUCCUCAUGGCCUUUAUGACCAGGGCUACACACGUACUACAAUGGCCGAUACAAAGGGCAGCGACACUGCGAGGUGAAGCCAAUCCCGUAAAAUCGGUCUCAGUCCGGAUUGGAGUCUGCAACUCGACUCCAUGAAGUUGGAAUCGCUAGUAAUCGUGGAUCAGCAUGCCACGGUGAAUACGUUCCCGGGCCUU
rnacentral:rRNA from 1 species